rnacentral:rRNA from 1 species
UGGGGAAUAUUGCACAAUGGGGGAAACCCUGAUGCAGCCAUGCCGCGUGUGUGAAGAAGGCCUUCGGGUUGUAAAGCACUUUCAGCGGGGAGGAAGGGGAGCAAGCUAAUACCUUGUUUCAUUGACGUUACCCGCAGAAGAAGCACCGGCUAACUCCGUGCCAGCAGCCGCGGUAAUACGGAGGGUGCAAGCGUUAAUCGGAAUUACUGGGCGUAAAGCGCACGCAGGCGGUUGGAUAAGCUAGAUGUGAAAGCCCCGGGCUCAACCUGGGAAUAGCAUUUAGAACUGUCCGACUAGAGUCUUGUAGAGGGGGGUAGAAUUCCAGGUGUAGCGGUGAAAUGCGUAGAGAUCUGGAGGAAUACCGGUGGCGAAGGCGGCCCCCUGGACAAAGACUGACGCUCAGGUGCGAAAGCGUGGGGAGCAAACA